rnacentral:rRNA from 1 species
AUGCGAGGCAUCGGCGCCGCCGCAGCCGCCGCCGCCGCCCGGCGGCACGCGCACCUCCCCUCCUCCUAUGCCGCCGCGUUCUCUUCCUUCUCCGGCAUCGGGGGCAGUGGUGGCGCAGGGCGCGGGCGCGGGCGCGGCCUACCGCCCUCCGGCUCCGCGCCGCCGCGCGCUCCCGGGAGGCCUAUCCCCGAGGACGACAAUGGGGCGGAUCUCUUCGCCGCAUCAUCUUCUGCCGGCCGUGGCCGCGGGGAGCCCGUGAUCCCGCCCUCCCCCACCACCCCGUCCUUCUCGUCCUUCUCUAGCGCUGGCCGCGGCCGUGGAUCCCCGCUGCCCCCUCCCCCGCCGCCGCCGCCAUCCGACGAAGAUGCCCCCAAGCAACCCACCUUCGCAAAGCGCUUCGACUCCGUCCCUCCCCCCUCCGAUCAGGAGCCGCUAGCCACCGUUGCCUCCUCCUCAUCCGAGCCGCCGCGUUCGAUCCCUACCUCCGGCGCCGGCCGCGGCGUGCCGCGUGUGCAGCCACCGGUGGACAGGGCCCCCGAGGAGAACCGCUUCGUUCGAAGUCGUGGGGCAAGGAAAGCUCCGGCCCCGUCGGCUCCAAGCGGGCAGCCGAAAUUGGCGCCACAGGAGGCUGUGAAGCGUGCUUUGGAGCUCCUUGGCCGUGGCGAUACUGGCGGUGGACGCGGGAGAGGGGGGCGUGGGGGCCGCGGAGGUGGCCGGGACGGUGGCCGUCGGCCUGCUGACGUCAACGAGCAGGAAAAGAUCUUCUUGGGUGACAAUGCUGAUGGCGAGAAACUCGAGAAGCGGCUUGGGCCUGAGAAAAUGAAGAUUUGGGACGAGGCGUUCGAUGAGGCAGCAGAUGAGGCACUGCCAAACCCGGAGAAUGAUAAGCUUCUCGACGAUAUUCAUACCGAUAACAUGAUUGAGUUUGAGCCAGAGUACAAUGUGAGCUUUGGUAAUCCUGAUAUUGAGGAGAAGCCGCCUAUGUCAUUGCAGGAGAUGCUGGAGAAAGUAAAGCCAUUCAUAGUUGCUUAUGAAGGCAUCCAGGACCAGGAAGAAUGGGAGGAUGCCGUGGCCGAUAUCAUUUUAAAGGCACCCCAUAUGAAAGAGAUGAUAGAUAUGUACAGUGGGCCUGAUGUCGUAACUGCAAUACAGCAAGAAGGGGAGCUGCAAAGGGUUGCCAACACUCUUCCAGCAAACAUACCCAAUUCAGUAAAGCGGUUUACUGAUAAAACUUUACUUUCUCUCAAGAAUAAUCCUGGUUGGGGUUUUGACAAGAAGUGUCAAUUCAUGGACAAGUUUGUUCGUGAAGUUUCAGAGCAAUACAAGUAA